rnacentral:misc_RNA from 1 species
UAUCCGUUGGUGAACCAGCGGAGGGAUCAUUACCGAGUUUACAACUCCCAAACCCAAUGUGAACGUUACCAAACUGUUGCCUCGGCGGGGUCACGCCCCGGGUGCGUCGCAGCCCCGGAACCAGGCGCCCGCCGGAGGAACCAACCAAACUCUUUCUGUAGUCCCCUCGCGGACGUUAUUUCUUACAGCUCUGAGCAAAAAUUCAAAAUGAAUCAAAACUUUCAACAACGGAUCUCUUGGUUCUG